AACGAACGCUGGCGGCAGGCCUAACACAUGCAAGUCGAACGCCGUAGCAAUACGGAGUGGCAGACGGGUGAGUAACACGUGGGAACGUACCUUUCGGUUCGGAAUAACUCAGGGAAACUUGAGCUAAUACCGGAUACGUGCGAGAGCAGAAAGAUUUAUCGCCGAAAGAUCGGCCCGCGUCCGAUUAGCUUGUUGGUGAGGUAACGGCUCACCAAGGCGACGAUCGGUAGCUGGUCUGAGAGGAUGAUCAGCCACACUGGGACUGAGACACGGCCCAGACUCCUACGGGAGGCAGCAGUGGGGAAUAUUGGACAAUGGGCGCAAGCCUGAUCCAGCCAUGCCGCGUGAGUGAUGACGGCCUUAGGGUUGUAAAGCUCUUUCGCCAGGGACGAUAAUGACGGUACCUGGAUAAGAAGCCCCGGCUAACUUCGUG
rnacentral:rRNA from 1 species